rnacentral:rRNA from 1 species
AUACGUAGGGAGCGAGCGUUGUCCGGAAUUACUGGGCGUAAAGGGCGCGUAGGCGGCGCUUCAAGUCGUCUGUCAAAUGAGAGGGCUUGACCCUUUUUCGCAGACGAAACUGGAGAGCUUGAGAAGCAGAGAGGCAAACAGAAUUCCUGGUGUAGCGGUGAAAUGCGUAGAUAUCAGGAAGAAUACCAGUGGCGAAGGCGGUUUGCUGGCUGCAUACUGACGCUGAAGCGCGAAAGCCAGGGGAGCGAACGGGAUUAGAUACCCCGGUAGUCCUGGCAGUAAACGAUGUAUGCUGGGUGUGAGACUAGCGAUAGUUUCGUGCCGAAGUUAACGCGAUAAGCAUACCGCCUGGGGGGUACGGUCGCAAGAUUGAAACUCAAAUGAAUUGGCGGGG